UCCUACGGGAGGCAGCAGUCGGGAAUAUUGCGCAAUGGAGGAAACUCUGACGCAGUGACGCCGCGUAUAGGAAGAAGGUUUUCGGAUUGUAAACUAUUGUCGUUAGGGAAGAUAAAAGACAGUACCUAAGGAGGAGGCUCCGGCUAACUACGUGCCAGCAGCCGCGGUAAUACGUAGGGAGCAAGCGUUAUCCGGAUUUAUUGGGUGUAAAGGGUGCGUAGACGGGAAAUUAAGUUAGUUGUGAAAUCCCUCGGCUCAACUGAGGAACUGCAACCAAAACUAUUCUCCUUGAGUGUCGGAGAGGA
rnacentral:rRNA from 1 species